CACUGAGCUGGCUCAUUCGCGAGUGACACACCUGAUUGCCAAUCAUUCACACCUGUUAGCUGGAAAGCCAGGACAACACGGAUAAACAAAACGCCUGGGAAAUACUUAAAGUGGUUUGACAGAGCACCUGGUGUGAGCGGAGCUGGAAAUCCUUAUUGAUUACUGCUUUGUGGAAGUGGUCUCUGGCUGUAUGGCUUCCUCGCUGUAUCCUCUCCAGGACUGCAAGCGGGCGACAAAAGUAGAGAUGAAAACCAGAGGGAGAGACUCACCUGCAUCCCAAGAACUUUACAGAACACCCUCCAGAACUGGGAGAUGAACUGUGGCCUUCUUUCAGAAACGAUGUCAACAGGAAGUCUGUCAGGACAGGAUCUCUUCCAAUUCUUUGGAAGAAGGGGACAUUGAUGAGUGGAACCAGGGGAAGAGGUAGCCUGGUCAACAGAUUCUCGUCCUACACUAUUCGCUUCGAACGGAGAGUCUUGGCUCUCGACUGUUGAGAAACAAUCGCUUCCUGGAGGUGUUGGAAGUUUU